UUAGGUGUAUUCUUAUCACUUAGCUAGUUAUAGAGGUAUAAAAGAAAGAAUCAAAAUCACUGUCUGCCAGUGUAAGGUCCUUCUCUUACUGUGGCAGUCUGAGGCCCUGUUCUUAGGCUAAGUCCUUUGUCUAAGCAACAGAGGCACCUCAAACUAGGAAGGGACCUGUCAAAUC